rnacentral:rRNA from 1 species
CCUACGGGAGGCAGCAGUGAGGAAUAUUGGUCAAUGGACGAGAGUCUGAACCAGCCAAGUAGCGUGAAGGAUGACUGCCCUAUGGGUUGUAAACUUCUUUUAUAUGGGAAUAAAACGUUCCACGUGUGGGAUUUUGUAUGUACCAUAUGAAUAAGGAUCGGCUAACCCCGUGCCAGCAGCCGGGGUAAUAAGGAGGAUCCGAGCGUUAACCGGAUUUAUUUGGUUUAAAGGGAGCGUAGGUGGAUUGUUAAGGCAGUUGUGAAAGUUUGCGGCUCAACCGUAAAAGUGCAGUUGAAACUGGCAGUCUUGAGUACAGUAGAGGUGGGCGGAAUUCGUGGUGUAGCGGUGAAAUGCUUAGAUAUCACGAAGAACUCCGAUUGCGAAGGCAGUUCACUGGACUGCAACUGACACUGAGGCUCGAAAGUGUGGGUAUCAAACAGGAUUAGAUACCCGUGUAGUC